AAAAAUGUUUUGGUGUAAACUUGGCCAAGGGGAACUCUUGAAACUUUCAGUUUCUUUGCCUAACUCUGAGUUGCUUGAGUCACAUUUUUGCAUGGUUCUUGAUUGACUUUCUGGUGCUCUGCCUGGAGGUCUUUGCUUAUCUGUGAGUUGCCUGAGUCACAUUUUUACAUGGUUCUGGUGCUCUGCCUGCAGGUCAAGAAGGAGCCAGUAUCUCCAGGAGGAGUGAGAGAGUGCUCUGCCAGUGUGAAGUGUGAAUCCUUGAGAGGCUGUGGCAAGGGUCCAUGCCUGAAUGUGUAGAACAAGAACAGCUGGAGGCUGUGGCUUUCUCCAGGAAGAGGUUUCUAAAUCUGCCUCUUAGAAGAUAUCAGAAAGUUAAAGUUUCUCUUGCUGCCGCCGUGUAAGAAGGACCUUUUGCCUCCCACCAUGAUUCUAAGUCCUCCCCAGCCACGUGGAACUGCUUUCAUUUGGUCUCUUUUCGAAUCAGAAGACCCAGAAAACUUGGAUCCACUUCUGGCUCUCAUCCCUCUGGGCAGUGUGAUUUGGAUUGAGCAGAUGCUCCGGCUGCCACUCCAUCAUAUAUUGGAAACAGCAUUACUUUAUAGUAAAUCAUGACCACGGUGUAUGGCAAUGAAGUUGCAUCUGAAGCAGCCGGCACCCUAUGUGCUAGCUGGCUUUUAGACCAGGAGACUGUGAAUCUGUGGUCAGGAUCUCUUUAGGGCUGCUAAAUAUAUACUACCCACUAUCACUCGCUGGAGCUGCAGACCCUAGUUUUAGAGUUUCACUUCUUAAAGACCUUCAUCCUUAUUAAAAUGGUAAUAUCCUUACUGUCAUCAAUCACUGACACAUUGGUAUGAGUGAGUUUGAGUCUGGUUUGAAGAGUAGGUUUACUGGAGGAGGAGGCUCACAGGGAAGCUGGGAGGGAACCCACAGCUACUCUGCAGAGAAGGAGAGAGGGAGGUGAGGUGUGGAGGCAAGGGGAAGAGAGGGUGGCUAUACUAACAGUCUCCUGGCUAGAGAGGAGGAUUGGACCAUUUUGCAUUCUUUUUUUUUUUUUGAGACAGAGUUUCACUCUGUCGACCAGGUUGAAGUGCAGUGGCACAAUCUUGGCUCACUGCAACUUACAUCUCCCCUGUGCAAGUGAUUCUAGAGCCUCAGCCUCCUGAGUAGCUGGGAUUAUAGGUGUGUGCCACCAUGCCUGACUAAUUUUUGUGUUUUUAGUAGAGACGGGGUCUUGCCAUAUUGCCCAGGCUGGUUUUGAACUCCUGGCCUUAAGUGAUCCACCCACUUCAGCCUCCCAAAGUGCUGGGAUUACAGGUGUGAGCCACUGAGCCUGGGCUAUUUUGCAUUCUUAAAGUAGCUUUAUCGUUCAUGCCUCUUCUCCUCUAUGCUAGCACUGGUUAUACUUACAAAGAUGGAGCAUGAUUUUCUUCCUUAUUCUUCUCUUUGUUCUAGGAACCAGAAAGAACAGGUGUUAAUCUUAUUAGCAAGGAAAGGAGGCCUCAGCAAUAGCGAGAAACCGAACUUAUUUGUGAGGCCUUGCAUUUUGAUGUGAAUUGUUUCCAGGGAUUUAAAAAUAUUCAGUAAAACACAAAAAAAGUAAUGAAAAUUUUUUAAUAGCCUGAGGUAAAGCAGCUACGGCUUAGAAAGGCUGAGGAACUUGCCUGAGGCUAUCCAGCUACUGAGAGAUAAACUGGGGUGUGAAUUCAGAGAGCUUGACUCCUGAGGCUCCACCUGUGCCUAUAAUUCCAGCAUGACACCUGGUAAUGGGCACUCAGUAUAUGCUUGUUGAUCUAAACUCAGUGUGUGUGUGUGUGUCUGUGUGUGUCUGUGUGUGUGUGUGUGUGUGUGUGUGUGUGUGUGGUCUUCCUCUCACAUCCAAAGCUACUAGCACUGAGGAAGUUGGGCAUGGUGUAGGAAAGAGAAAUCUUUGCUGUUAAAUCUCAUUUCCAGCAUAACUGUCAAUGGAGAGGUGGCAUGGAAGGGACAACCAGUUCGUGUACCAAAUUACUCUCAGCUUGCUUGUUGUCUUAGGCAUAUGUUCUGGGAGUGGCCAACACCUGUUUUACAUCUGUGUUAGUCUUUGCGGAAUAAAAAGCAAAUUAGGGUUUAAUGGGGACUAUUAAUCUUGUCACCUAAUUGAGUAGAUCUAAUAAAUCUUUUCAUUCAAAACCCAAUGGGAAUUUCUAGUUGGAAAUGAGUGUGGGGAAUAUUCAAUCUCAAAAAUAUUUUCAUACACAAAGAUUAUAUAUGAGUUUGUGAAAGAUGUUGAAUAUUCAAUGAAAUUUAAUGAGUAUGAAUUGAACACUUAUCCUGGGCCUAGAACUGUUGGCAGUUGCUUUUGAGAGUUACAGAGUACAUUUAUGGUAAUUACUGCACUUACGAAUUUUGCUAUGUGGUUUGGGAGUAUCUGAAGUAUCUUAUAGUAGGUCUCUAAACUGGUAAUAAUAAAAAGUUCAAAUAUAUUAUUUUGUUACACUCCACGAGGAUCAAACUUCAUCAUGACAUGAUUAUAAUUUGAAAUAUGAGUAAGAAAUACGUAGGGUCAUGAUCUCUAUAAGCCCAUUCUUUGCUUCUUAAUUAAAUUUUGCAGCUGAUAGAAACAUUGAAAGCAGAGCAUUAGCUUAUAAAUAAUUCAGAAAAUGGUUGGUAACUCCCAUAGUAUAUGUUUUAUGAGUUUUGUUUAAGAAGAGUCUAUUUCGUGUUAGGUAAAGUUGGCCAUUGUUUAGAAUAAAGACCUGCAUUACUUUCUAUUCUAAAUUAAACUGUUAAUGGGAGUGCUUGCAAAGGCCUUGGUGCUUUUUUUUCUGUUUAAUAGGAGCAACAUCACUUUGGAUCAAUUAUUUAAUUUCCUUAUGUCAGAGUUCUUUCAAUUUAAAGGAAAAUAUUUCCUUUCCUCAUUCCUUUUUCUCUGAGGAUGAACCAGACAUUGGAAGUUGUAGCCUGGGAUUGUACUGGAGCUCUCACUGUGGUUGCAUUCUUUCUUCACAUUCAGCGUCCUCCUUAAAGCACACAUUUUCACGUACAUCUAUUAAAUUACCUGGGAGAGAGUUCUAGACACUAUCAGUCAGUAAAUCCAGUUGUCUCAUUUUUCAGUUUUAGCUAUUGUUGCGGUCAUAUGCCAAGGCUUGUAUGAAUGAAGGGUCUAUAAAAAUAUCUGCUGUGGUGUGAUUUUUUUUAUCCUUGUAUGAGACCAUAGCAUGAGACAGUAGACUGGCAAAUUGGCAGGGCGAGGAGAGUGUUUGUGCUUACACGGGGCAAUGAAAAGAGUUUUGAUUCUUCUUUAGCUAAAUGUUAUAAAACUUUAAAGCUUACAUUUGAAUAAUCGUUGCAGAUGGGUUAGAUAAAAUCCAUCAACUCACAAUGUUUUUCCUGUUUCCAUUCACUAGUGAGUAACAAGGUUAAAAGAAGGAAUGUUCUAUAAAAUAAGAUAUAGAAUUUGGGUUAGGUUUACAAGUGAAGAGUUCCUCUUUGCCCUGCCCCCAAAUUAUUUUUAGGCCCCAGGCCUCUGAAGCCAAGGUAAUCUGCAGGGCAGCUUUCACAUUUUAUCACAAGUCAGUGGUCUCUCCUCUUCCUUGUCCCUCCUAUCUUGCCGGCAAAUGGCUCUGUGGGAAACCCAUUCUGCUUCCUGUUUAAACUGUAGAAACAAUUCAUUUAAUUCAAUAUCUAGCUUUUGAUUCUAUUUGCAAAAAUACAGUUGUAAAUAGUUCCAUUCAUUAGCCAAUUUUUUUUUUGGUCUGUUAAGCAUAUUUGGGUCAUUUUAUAGUUAACCUUGGCUGAGGGAGAGAAGUUCUUUGAAGCUCUUACUUACUUACUUGUGAAUUUUUGGGUCUGAUAUGGAGGCUUUGCAGGUCAGAAGCAUGGCUUGACUGACCCAAUGCCCAUUUCUGGCUCUCUUCAUCCUCGCUGACCUCUACAGUAGAGAAAGGAGAAGCUGAAUAUUCACUGCUCUAACCUCCCUUGAAGCAAGGGGUGGCCUUGUAACAGUUCUGGCCAAUGUGGCAUAAGCAGAAUUCUGCUGAGGUGGGUUUUGGGAACGGCUUUUGAUUUCCUAAUAAAAGAGGCCAGAACUGCAGGCACUAUUCUUUCCACCCCUCUUGGUCUUGAACAUGGCUACAAUGUCUGGAUCUAUAGCAGUCAGCUUGCAACUUUGAGACAAUAUGCCAAUCUAAAAAUGGUAGAGCAGAAUUAUAGAUGAACAGAUGAACCCUUGGUUUUUAUUAGAUCAUGGAGCCCCAUAUUAUACAGUACUGCUUCCCUUUAGACAUCAUACAUGAAAAAUAAAUCCCUUUGUGGUAGGUUUAAUACAAGGCCACAAAUUCUUUGACACUCCUCCCAGCAAAGUCUAAUUCACCCUCCCUUGAAUAUAGGCCAGCCUUACCCACUUGAUUCUAACUAGUAGAAUUCAGUAGAUGUGACACUGCAUGACUCUCCAUGCUAGGUUCACAAGUGAUGCGGUUUCUGCCUUUUUCUUCUCUCUGACAUGUGCCUUGGGAGCUUUGAGCUGACAUGUUAGAAGUCAGUCUACAUUGAAGCUGCCAUGCUGAAGAACUCAUGUGGGAGAACACACAGAAAUCGAGAUGCCUGAGGAGCCCCAGCUGUACCAGCCUCUAGCUCUCUGAGUCUUCUCAGCAAGAACUGUCAAACAUGAGAGUGAAGCAGCCUUCAGAUGACUCUGGCCCCAGUCUUCAAGUGCCCUAGCUGGUGCCAAGUGGAGCAGACAAGCUGCCACCCACCAAGCCCUUCCCAAAUUGCAGACUAGGAACAAAAUAAAUGUUAUUUUAAGCCACUAAAUUUUGGUUUGUUAUAUAUUAUAGCAAUAGAAAACCAGAACCCCUUUUUUUAAUGCCACUGUUAGUUGGAUAUUCUGUUACUUGCAGCCAAAAGCAUCCUUAUGUGAAAUACUUAGUAGUAGAGAAGAUUAAAAGAAAUCACUAAAA
rnacentral:lncRNA from 1 species